UUAAAUUGAAGAGUUUGAUCAUGGCUCAGAUUGAACGCUGGCGGCAAGCAUAACACAUGCACGUCGAACGGUAACAUGAAGCAGCUUGCUGCUUUUCUGACGAGUGGCGGACGGGUGAGUAAUGUCUGGGAAACUGCCUGAUGGAGGGGGAUAACUACUGGAAACGGUAGCUAAUACCGCAUAACGUCGCAAGACCAAAGAGGGGGACCUUAGGGCCUCUUGCCAUCGGAUGUGCCCAGAUGGGAUUAGCUAGUAGGUGGGGUAACGGCUCACCUAGGCGACGAUCCCUAGCUGGUCUGAGAGGAUGACCAGCCACACUGGAACUGAGACACGGUCCAGACUCCUACGGGAGGCAGCAGUGGGGAAUAUUGCACAAUGGGCGCAAGCCUGAUGCAGCCAUGCCGCGUGUAUGAAGAAGGCCUUCGGGUUGUAAAGUACUUUCAGCGGGGAGGAAGGGAGUAAAGUUAAUACCUUUGCUCAUUGACGUUACCCGCAGAAGAAGCACCGGCUAACUCCGUGCCAGCAGCCGCGGUAAUACGGAGGGUGCAAGCGUUAAUCGGAAUUACUGGGCGUAAAGCGCACGCAGGCGGUUUGUUAAGUCAGAUGUGAAAUCCCCGGGCUCAACCUGGGAACUGCAUCUGAUACUGGCAAGCUUGAGUCUCGUAGAGGGGGGUAGAAUUCCAGGUGUAGCGGUGAAAUGCGUAGAGAUCUGGAGGAAUACCGGUGGCGAAGGCGGCCCCCUGGACGAAGACUGACGCUCAGGUGCGAAAGCGUGGGGAGCAAACAGGAUUAGAUACCCUGGUAGUCCACGCCGUAAACGAUGUCGACUUGGAGGUUGUGCCCUUGAGGCGUGGCUUCCGGAGCUAACGCGUUAAGUCGACCGCCUGGGGAGUACGGCCGCAAGGUUAAAACUCAAAUGAAUUGACGGGGGCCCGCACAAGCGGUGGAGCAUGUGGUUUAAUUCGAUGCAACGCGAAGAACCUUACCUGGUCUUGACAUCCACGGAAGUUUUCAGAGAUGAGAAUGUGCCUUCGGGAACCGUGAGACAGGUGCUGCAUGGCUGUCGUCAGCUCGUGUUGUGAAAUGUUGGGUUAAGUCCCGCAACGAGCGCAACCCUUAUCCUUUGUUGCCAGCGGUCCGGCCGGGAACUCAAAGGAGACUGCCAGUGAUAAACUGGAGGAAGGUGGGGAUGACGUCAAGUCAUCAUGGCCCUUACGACCAGGGCUACACACGUGCUACAAUGGCGCAUACAAAGAGAAGCGACCUCGCGAGAGCAAGCGGACCUCAUAAAGUGCGUCGUAGUCCGGAUUGGAGUCUGCAACUCGACUCCAUGAAGUCGGAAUCGCUAGUAAUCGUGGAUCAGAAUGCCACGGUGAAUACGUUCCCGGGCCUUGUACACACCGCCCGUCACACCAUGGGAGUGGGUUGCAAAAGAAGUAGGUAGCUUAACCUUCGGGAGGGCGCUUACCACUUUGUGAUUCAUGACUGGGGUGAAGUCGUAACAAGGUAACCGUAGGGGAACCUGCGGUUGGAUCACCUCCUUACCUUAAAGAAGC
rnacentral:rRNA from 1 species